rnacentral:pre_miRNA from 1 species
UUAACUCUAAUUUGUAUGGAGUUGGAAUGUUUGCCUACUUUUGCCGCUGUUCCAACUGCAUACAAAUUUACCCUA